CGUACCUUUUGUAUAAUGGGUCAGCGACUUAUAUUCUGUAGCAAGGUUAACCGAAUAGGGGAGCCGAAGGGAAACCGAGUCUUAACUGGGCGUUAAGUUGCAGGGUAUAGACCCGAAACCCGGUGAUCUAGCCAUGGGCAGGUUGAAGGUUGGGUAACACUAACUGGAGGACCGAACCGACUAAUGUUGAAAAAUUAGCGGAUGACUUGUGGCUGGGGGUGAAAGGCCAAUCAAACCGGGAGAUAGCUGGUUCUCCCCGAAAGCUAUUUAGGUAGCGCCUCGUGAAUUCAUCUCCGGGGGUAGAGCACUGUUUCGGCAAGGGGGUCAUCCCGACUUACCAACCCGAUGCAAACUGCGAAUACCGGAGAAUGUUAUCACGGGAGACACACGGCGGGUGCUAACGUCCGUCGUGAAGAGGGAAACAACCCAGACCGCCAGCUAAGGUCCCAAAGUCAUGGUUAAGUGGGAAACGAUGUGGGAAGGCCCAGACAGCCAGGAUGUUGGCUUAGAAGCAGCCAUCAUUUAAAGAAAGCGUAAUAGCUCACUGGUCGAGUCGGCCUGCGCGGAAGAUGUAACGGGGCUAAACCAUGCACCGAAGCUGCGGCAGCGACGCUGAUGCGUUGUUGGGUAGGGGAGCGUUCUGUAAGCCUGUGAAGGUGUGCUGUGAGGCAUGCUGGAGGUAUCAGAAGUGCGAAUGCUGACAUAAGUAACGAUAAAGCGGGUGAAAAGCCCGCUCGCCGGAAGACCAAGGGUUCCUGUCCAACGUUAAUCGGGGCAGGGUGAGUCGACCCCUAAGGCGAGGCCGAAAGGCGUAGUCGAUGGGAAACAGGUUAAUAUUCCUGUACUUGGUGUUACUGCGAAGGGGGGACGGAGAAGGCUAUGUUGGCCGGGCGACGGUUGUCCCGGUUUAAGCGUGUAGGCUGGUUUUCCAGGCAAAUCCGGAAAACUAAGGCUGAGGCGUGAUGACGAGGCACUACGGUGCUGAAGCAACAAAUGCCCUGCUUCCAGGAAAAGCCUCUAAGCAUCAGGUAACAUCAAAUCGUACCCCAAACCGACACAGGUGGUCAGGUAGAGAAUACCAAGGCGCUUGAGAGAACUCGGGUGAAGGAACUAGGCAAAAUGGUGCCGUAACUUCGGGAGAAGGCACGCUGAUAUGUAGGUGAAGUCCCUCGCGGAUGGAGCUGAAAUCAGUCGAAGAUACCAGCUGGCUGCAACUGUUUAUUAAAAACACAGCACUGUGCAAACACGAAAGUGGACGUAUACGGUGUGACGCCUGCCCGGUGCCGGAAGGUUAAUUGAUGGGGUCAGCGCAAGCGAAGCUCUUGAUCGAAGCCCCGGUAAACGGCGGCCGUAACUAUAACGGUCCUAAGGUAGCGAAAUUCCUUGUCGGGUAAGUUCCGACCUGCACGAAUGGCGUAAUGAUGGCCAGGCUGUCUCCACCCGAGACUCAGUGAAAUUGAACUCGCUGUGAAGAUGCAGUGUACCCGCGGCAAGACGGAAAGACCCCGUGAACCUUUACUAUAGCUUGACACUGAACAUUGAGCCUUGAUGUGUAGGAUAGGUGGGAGGCUUUGAAGUGUGGACGCCAGUCUGCAUGGAGCCGACCUUGAAAUACCACCCUUUAAUGUUUGAUGUUCUAACGUUGACCCGUAAUCCGGGUUGCGGACAGUGUCUGGUGGGUAGUUUGACUGGGGCGGUCUCCUCCUAAAGAGUAACGGAGGAGCACGAAGGUUGGCUAAUCCUGGUCGGACAUCAGGAGGUUAGUGCAAUGGCAUAAGCCAGCUUGACUGCGAGCGUGACGGCGCGAGCAGGUGCGAAAGCAGGUCAUAGUGAUCCGGUGGUUCUGAAUGGAAGGGCCAUCGCUCAACGGAUAAAAGGUACUCCGGGGAUAACAGGCUGAUACCGCCCAAGAGUUCAUAUCGACGGCGGUGUUUGGCACCUCGAUGUCGGCUCAUCACAUCCUGGGGCUGAAGUAGGUCCCAAGGGUAUGGCUGUUCGCCAUUUAAAGUGGUACGCGAGCUGGGUUUAGAACGUCGUGAGACAGUUCGGUCCCUAUCUGCCGUGGGCGCUGGAGAACUGAGGGGGGCUGCUCCUAGUACGAGAGGACCGGAGUGGACGCAUCACUGGUGUUC
rnacentral:rRNA from 1 species